UAAGGAAUAUUGGACAAUAGAGGCAACUCUGAUCCAGCCAUGCCGCGUGAAGGAAUAAGGCCCUAUGGGUUGUAAACUUCUUUUAUAUGGGAAGAAAUGUACUUUUUUCUAAAGUGCUUGACGGUACCAUAGGAAUAAGCACCGGCUAACUCCGUGCCAGCAGCCGCGGUAAUACGGAGGGUGCAAGCGUUAUCCGGAUUUACUGGGUUUAAAGGGUGCGUAGGCGGAUGAAUAAGUCAGUGGUGAAAUCUCCGAGCUUAACUCGGAAACUGCCGUUGAUACUAUUUGUCUUGAAUAUUGUGGAGGUAAGCGGAAUAUGUCAUGUAGCGGUGAAAUGCUUAGAUAUGACAUAGAACACCAAUUGCGAAGGCAGCUUGCUACACAAUCAUUGACGCUGAGGCACGAAAGCGUGGGAAUCAAACA
rnacentral:rRNA from 1 species